rnacentral:rRNA from 1 species
UACGAAGGGUGCAAGCGUUAAUCGGAAUUACUGGGCGUAAAGGGUGCGUAGGCGGUUAGUUAAGUCUGUUGUGAAAUCCCCGGGCUCAACCUGGGAAUGGCAAUGGAUACUGGCUGGCUAGAGUGUGGCAGAGGAUGGUGGAAUUCCCGGUGUAGCGGUGAAAUGCGUAGAGAUCGGGAGGAACAUCAGUGGCGAAGGCGGCCAUCUGGGACAACACUGACGCUGAAGCACGAAAGCGAGGGGAGCAAACAGG